rnacentral:rRNA from 1 species
GACAGAGGGUGCAAACGUUGUUCGGAAUUACUGGGCGUAAAGCGCGUGUAGGCGGCUAAGUAAGUCAGGCGUGAAAUCCCACGGCUCAACCGUGGAAGUGCACUCGAAACUGCAUAGCUAGAGUCCUGGAGAGGAAGGUGGAAUGCUUGGUGUAGAGGUGAAAUUCGUAGAUAUCAAGCGGAACACCGGUGGCGAAGGCGGCCUUCUGGACAGUGACUGACGCUGAGACGCGAAAGCCAGGGGAGCAAACGGG